rnacentral:rRNA from 1 species
AGUGAACGCUGGCGGCGUGCUUAACACAUGCAAGUCGAACGAGAAACGGUCUAGCUUGCUAGAUGCAGUCUAAGUGGCGCACGGGUGAGUAAUAUAUAGGUAAUAUGCCUCUUACUAAGGGAUAACAGAUGGAAACGUCUGCUAAUACCUUAUAUGCCUUUAGGACUAAAGUCCGCAAGGGAAAGAUUUAUCGGUAAGAGAUUAGCCUGUACAGUAUCAGUUAGUUGGUGAGGUAAUGGCUCACCAAGACUAUGACACUUAACUGGUUUGAGAGGAUGAUCAGUCACACUGGAACUGAGACACGGUCCAGACUCCUACGGGAGGCAGCAGUGGGGAAUAUUGCACAAUGGACGGAAGUCUGAUGCAGCAACGCCGCGUGGAGGAUGACACAUUUCGGUGCGUAAACUCCUUUUAUAUGAGAAGAUAAUGACGGUAUCAUAUGAAUAAGCACCGGCUAACUCCGUG